UACGUAGGGUGCAAGCGUUUGUCCGGAAUUAUUGGGCGUAAAGAGCUCGUAGGCGGUUCGUCGCGUCGGCUGUGAAAACCUGAGGCUCAACCUCAGGCCUGCAGUCGAUACGGGCGGACUAGAGUGCGGUAGGGGAGAUUGGAAUUCCUGGUGUAGCGGUGGAAUGCGCAGAUAUCAGGAGGAACACCGAUGGCGAAGGCAGAUCUCUGGGCCGUAACUGACGCUGGAGGAGCGAAAGCGUGGGGAGCGAACAGG
rnacentral:rRNA from 1 species